rnacentral:rRNA from 1 species
AGAGUUUGAUCCUGGCUCAGAACGAACGUUGGCGGCGUGGAUUAGGCAUGCAAGUCGAACGAAUCCCAGUGGGGGUAACUCUGCUGGGGGAAGUGGCGAAAGGGGCAGUAAUGCGUGGAUAACCUACCUCCGGGACGGGAAUAGCCAUUCUAACGAAUGGGUAAUGCCCGGCGAGCUGACGAGGUGGCAUCAUCUUGUCAGGAAAUGAAUUUCGCCUGGGGAGGGGUUCACGUGCUAUUAGCUUGUUGGCGGGGUAACGGCCCACCAAGGCUAAGAUGGCUAGCGGGUGUGAGAGCACGACCCGCGCCACUGGCACUGAGACACUGGCCAGACUCCUACGGGAGGCUGCAGUCGAGGAUCUUCGGCAAUGGGCGCAAGCCUGACCGAGCGACGCCGCGUGCGCGAUGAAGGCCUUCGGGUUGUAAAGCGCUGUCGAGGGGGAGGAAAACCCGCAAGGGUCUGACCUAUCCCUGGAGGAAGGACGGGCUAAGUUCGUGCCAGCAGCCGCGGUAAGACGAACCGUCCAAACGUUGUUCGGAAUCACUGGGCUUAAAGGGCGCGUAGGCGGGUCUCCAAGUCGGUGGUGAAAUCUUUCGGCUCAACCGGAAAACAGCCGCCGAUACUGGGGGUCUCGAGGGAGGUAGGGGUCGAUGGAACUUCCGGUGGAGCGGUGAAAUGCGUAGAUAUCGGAAGGAACGCCGGUGGCGAAAGCGAUCGACUGGACCUUUUCUGCGCUGAGGCGCGAAAGCCAGGGGAGCAAACGGGAUUAGAUACCCCAGUAGUCC